rnacentral:rRNA from 1 species
CCUACGGGUGGCAGCAGUGAGGAAUAUUGGGCAAUGGGCGCAAGCCUGACCCAGCAACGCCGCGUGAAGGAAGAAGGCCCUCGGGUUGUAAACUUCUUUUAUCAAGGACGAAACAAAUGACGGUACUUGAUGAAUAAGCCACGGCUAACUACGUGCCAGCAGCCGCGGUAAUACGUAGGUGGCAAGCGUUAUCCGGAUUUAUUGGGUUUAAAGGGUGCGCAGGCGGAGGUGCAAGUCAGCGGUCAAAUUGCGGGGCUCAACCCCGUACUGCCGUUGAAACUGCAUCCCUUGAGUGCGCGAGAAGUAUGCGGAAUGCGUGGUGUAGCGGUGAAAUGCAUAGAUAUCACGCAGAACUCCGAUUGCGAAGGCAGCAUACCGGCGCGCAACUGACGCUCAUGCACGAAAGCGUGGGUAUCAAACAGGAUUAGAUACCCCGGUAGUC